AGUGUUCAAGAUGAAUGAAAGAAGAAAAAAAACACGAGAAAAAAACAAAUAAAUAUCUAUAUAUCUCUCUCUAUAUAUAUAUAUUAUGAAUUUUUAUUUCCU
rnacentral:ribozyme from 12 species